GACGAACGCUGGCGGCGUGCUUAACACAUGCAAGUCGAACGGAAAGGCCUCAGCUUGCUGGGGUACUCGAGUGGCGAACGGGUGAGUAACACGUGGGUGAUCUGCCUUGCACUCUGGGAUAAGCUUGGGAAACUGGGUCUAAUACCGGAUAUGAACUGCCUUUAGUGUGGUGGUUGGAAAGUUUUUUCGGUGCAAGAUGAGCUCGCGGCCUAUCAGCUUGUUGGUGGGGUAAUGGCCUACCAAGGCGUCGACGGGUAGCCGGCCUGAGAGGGUGUACGGCCACAUUGGGACUGAGAUACGGCCCAGACUCCUACGGGAGGCAGCAGUGGGGAAUGUUGCACAAUGGGCGGAAGCCUGAUGCAGCGACGCCGCGUGGGGGAUGACGGCCUUCGGGUUGUAAACUCCUUUCGACAGGGACGAAGCUUUUUGUGACGGUACCUGUAUAAGAAGCACCGGCUAACUACGUG
rnacentral:rRNA from 1 species